rnacentral:rRNA from 1 species
UACGUAGGGGGCAAGCGUUGUCCGGAAUUAUUGGGCGUAAAGCGCGCGCAGGCGGCUGUUUAAGUCUGGUGUUUAAGGCAAGAGCUUAACUCUUGUACGCAUUGGAAACUGGGCAGCUUGAGUGUAGGAGAGGAAAGUGGAAUUCCACGUGUAGCGGUGAAAUGCGUAGAGAUGUGGAGGAACACCAGUGGCGAAGGCGACUUUCUGGCCUAUAACUGACGCUGAGGCGCGAAAGCGUGGGGAGCAAACAGG